rnacentral:rRNA from 1 species
UGGGUAACCUGCCUCAAAGAGGGGAAUAGCCUCCCGAAAGGGAGAUUAAUACCGCAUAAUAUGUUA